AUACGUAGGGUGCAAGCGUUAAUCGGAAUUACUGGGCGUAAAGCGUGCGCAGGCGGUUUUGUAAGACAGUGGGGAAAUCCCCGGGCUCAACCUGGGAACUGCCAUUGUGACUGCAAGGCUGGCGUGCGGCAGCGGGGGAUGGAAUUCCGCGUGUAGCAGUGAAAUGCGUAGAUAUGCGGAGGAACACCGAUGGCGAAGGCAAUCCCCUGGGCCUGCACUGACGCUCAUGCACGAAAGCGUGGGGAGCAAACAGGAUUAGAUACCCUGGUAGUCCACGCCCUAAACGAUGUCAACUGGUUGUUGGGGAUUUAUUUUCUCAGUAACGAAGCUAACGCGUGAAGUUGACCGCCUGGGGAGUACGGCCGCAAGGUUAAAACUCAAAGGAAUUGACGGGG
rnacentral:rRNA from 1 species